UAGAGCUUACUGGGAUGGAAGGGUACCUGCCUUAUUGAGUGGGCACCAAGCAAGUGAAUAGCGAUGCCAGGUAAUUCCAGCAGAGAAUAAGAUAUGCUUGGCUUUCAUGUGUACCUUCAUAUAGGACUUGGCUCUUUGAACUCAGAAAAAGAGGAGGAAACACCAGGGAUGAAUGGACAAGGAUCCACCACCAUGGGAAGACACAGCAAGAAGGCAGUUGCCUCAAGCCAUGGAACAAGGCCUUAGGAGGAAUCAUACCUGCGCCCCCCUUGAUGCUGAACUUCUGGCUAAGGCACCCAGUCUGUGAUGUUUUGUUUUGACAGCUCAAGUGGACACAUACAGAAAGAUCUGGACAAGCACCUUCUUCAACCCGCGGGUCAAGGAGGUGGAAAGAGAAGACAGGUGCAUGCAAACCAGGAACGAGGCUCUCACCAGAGCUCCACCAUACUGGCACCUUGAUCUUCAAGUCCUCAGCCUCCAGAACUUUCUCUUCUCCUCUCAGUGCCAAGAUGAGAGAUGUCAAGGUGCCUGUUCUCACUGCAGCCGAUCCCCCUGUUGCUCAACAGCCAGCUUGUGGUAUUUCACCACAGCAGCCCGGAAAGACUGACACUCAACUUGGUCGAUUGUCACCUAAUGUCCUCUCAUCCCUCCUGAACAAUCACUGGUGUGCUCUAUGACUGCACGUUUCUUUAGUCCCUGGAUCCAUUGCCAUUGGUCUCCUGCAUCCUGCAUGCCCAUCUCUAGGGAGCUCCUGAUUUCCCUCUGCUAGGUCCUAGGCUCAUUUUUACAAAUUGCUGCUACAUUAUCCUACACUUCAAUAAUAGCUAGUGGUGACACUAAUGUUACUAAUAGCAAAUGCACAGUGCUUACAAUAUGCUUGGCCGUAUACUUAAUGCCUUCUAGGCACUGUCUCAGUUCUCCUGAGUACUGCCUUACAUGAUUCUGCUUUACAGAACCUUCUGUGUAAUGGGAGCGACCCUCUACCAAGAAACAACUGCAUGACAAACAUUUUGUUAGUAUUUACAUAUAUGUAAUCUACACAAACAUAUGGAGUGGAGUUUUUUAUCCCCAUGUUAUAGAGAAAAUAGAAACAAAGAAGUUAAAGGACUAAAUUAUCACAAUUAAACCUGGCAUGUAAUCCUCGAGAUUGGAAAGGCCGAGGCAGGAGGAUUACCAGCUUGAGUCCAGCCUGGACAACUUAGUGAUUUAGGGAGAACUUGUGUCAAUAUAAAAAAUAAAAGAAAGGCUGAGGAUGUAUUUCAAAUUGAAGGCCCUGGGUUCAAUUUCCAGUGCACCCCCUUCACCCUCCCAAAAUAUCACACUGAUAGUAAUUUAUAGUUAAAUUUCAGAAUCUGUUCCAAUACCAGAGCAAAAUAGGUUUAUAUAUUCCUAAAUUCACUGCAUCAUGUCCCAGCAGAACCUAUAGCUCUGGUGGAUGGGUUUGGUCCAGACCUUGACUCUACCUUACUUAAUUGUUUCCUGAUACACUAUUCAUGUACUGAGUGCACCCUAUAGCACUUUCAUUUGCUUAUAGGUUGCAAGUACGUAUUCUUCAGUUUCUUUGUUCACCCAUUCAUUCAUUUAUUAAUUAAUUUACUUAUUGGGUUCUUCCUCUGUGUCCAGCAUUAUGCUAAAAAAACCCCUAGGAAAUUGAUGCUGGAAAAAGCAUAGCAUAGAGAAUGACAUGUAAACAAAUAUGACAGCUGUGAGAAGAGGUGAAAGAUCUCACAUCUGCUAGUCAAGGCCAGCAGAUAGGAAUAUUUGCACUGAGAUAAAAAGAUUGAUGCUGGAGAAGGGUGUAUUUCAAUCAGGGGCAAGAGAAUUCAAUAGGAUUACAAGGCAUGUUCAGGGAGCUGCAACAGGUUCAGCAAGUCCUGGAGACAGGGCAGGAAAGGAAAAAUAGGACACAGGGAUUGGGAAUAAGAUCACAGGAGACCUGUAUAGCCUGAUGAAGGACAUAGGUUUUAUUCUGUGGCAUAGAACGACUCCAAAUGAAGCCUGUCAUUUCUCAAUCAUGUAGAAUUUAUGUUAGUAGAUAGUAUAAAGUAUAUCUUCUACUUUUGGGAAGGGAGUAUUACUUGUGAUGGUGAAUUAUUAUUACUUAUACAGGGGGUUGGGGGUAUAGUUCACCAGUAGAACACUUGCCUAACAUGGACCAGGCCCUUAAUUAUAUCUCCAGGACUAAAAAGCUGCACAAAAUUGUGUGUGUGUGAUGUUGGUGUAUAUAAGUAUUUAUAUGGCUUAUAUAAUGGAAUGCCAGUACUUCUGGUUAGUUGGGAUUUAUUAAUUUCCUAAUAUGCAUUGGUUUAACAAAGGCCCAGAAAGCUAACCCUAAAGAACAUUCUAUCAUGUCUCAAAUGUUCUUUAAUUUCUCCCCUCUUUCCAGUCAGCCUCAAACACUGAAUGCUGUUAAGUUGAGCUGCACACUGGAAAGGCUUCCUGAUUCUGAAUGAUAUGCAGUUAUCAGGGACCAGUGAACACGCACCCACCUCUGCUUAGCCAGUUUACCUCCUGUGGCAAAUUUGAUCUUCACACCAUAAAUCCAAUCUGCUGACUUGCUCCUUUACAUUACAUCUGAUUCUAGUUUUGGAGCUCCUCAAAAAGUGAAAUUACUAAAAGAGUACCAAGGGGAGUUUCAGGAACGAGUGCCUUAUUUUGUAUUUCCUAA